rnacentral:rRNA from 1 species
AGUACGUGAAACCGUUCAGGGGUAAACCUGAGAAACCCGAAAGAUCGAAUGGGGAGAUUCAUCGUCGGCGAGGUUGGCUUCCUUGCGGACUGCGAUGUCGGCGGAGCGCGGUGCCCUCACGGGUUAUCGUUGUUCUCGUCGUCACGCGUUCGCCGAGGUUUAUGUCCGAUCGCGUUGGCGUGCACUUCUCCCCUAGUAGAACGUCGCGACCCGCUGAGUGUCGGUUUAAGGCGCGAGAUCGUCGACUGUCCGCGUCGCUUCGGCGACCGCGGCGCAGACGCUCGUCUCCCCGACCGGCUGCUCGGCGGUAAGCAACACGAUGGUAUUGAGCCGCUAAUUAAAAGCGUUCAGACUCGUCGCAAGCUUGACCAUGGUCGAAUAGGAUCGGAAGUGCGGACCUAGUGCCGUCUCUGAUAAUGGUCGGCUGUUGGCGCGCGAUGCUCUCGAACCGGCUAAGUCGAACUCAUACAAUACCCGUCAGCGACGCUAUUGCUUUGGGUACUUUCAGGACCCGUCUUGAAACACGGACCAAGGAGUCUAACAUGUGCGCGAGUCAUUGGGAUUAAUAAAACCUAAAGGCGUAUUGAACGAAAAGAUCGUCCUCGCGUCGAUCGAGGGAGGAUGGGUGACGCGCGAGCGUUGCCCCGCACUCCCGGGGCGUCUCGUUGUCAUUGCGACAAGAGGUGCACCAAGAGCGUACACGUUGGGACCCGAAAGAUGGUGAACUAUGCCUGGUCAGGAUGAAGUCAGGGGAAACUCUGAUGGAGGUCCGUAGCGAUUCUGACGUGCAAAUCGAUCGUCGGAACUGGGUAUAGGGGCGAAAGACUAAUCGAACCAUCUAGUA